rnacentral:miRNA from 1 species
AGCCAAGGAUGACUUGCCUA